AGAGAUGUAAUUAAUUAUUUUAUUUUUGAAAAAGAAUACUUUGACACGCUUUUCACUCUUGCCACUCAUUAGACACGCUCUGGACCCCAAUUUUUCUGAAUCUCACUAAGGGCAAUUUUAGAAUUUUACAGCAAUCGCUCCUUUCAAAUAUUUUAUCCUUUCUUUUCUAUCAAACACUGAACAUGAAUGUGUAUUUGUAGAAGCCCUUUCCCUCCCAUGCACUGGCCCCUUUCUCUCCACGCAAUGGCCCUUUCUCUUUAUGCACCAGAUUCAUUGAAGUAAUUAUUGCAAUGGAUUAGGAGCGCAACACCCUUUCUCUCUUUUGUUCCACAAACCCUAAAUUAAACACAAAAUCCCCUUCUCUUUGGUGCUCCAGAAACCGUAAAUCGAACGCAAAAAGAAUGCCAAAUUGUUGUGGUGUACGAAGGCGGGAAGUCGAAAACGAUUGUGGUGUGGUGAAAUUUGAGUAUUGUUCAUCAUAUUAAUGUGUUCGCAACUGAUAUUGGUUGCCCAACUGAUGAGUUAGUACAUGUAUCACUACCAGUUGUUACCAACAACCUCCAACAUGUUCUGUUGAUGAUAUCCUUAGCAAAUUCAUUCCACCGGUUGACAACAACGAAAAACCUGAAGGUAGUGGAUCAAACAAGAACAUUAAUUGUGUGAAAAUUUGAGGACAUUCAUAAUUUCCUGUUUUGUAUUUCAGAUUUAUCGUUAUUGUCAGCUUCAUGGAUCUAUUGCUGCAUUAAGUGGUUAUGUAAUGUAUGUUAUGUUGUAAGUUUUGUAUCACGUUGUUUUCAUAUAAAAAAAUUGACAAUAUGGUGUAGUAACUGGUUAUACCUUCAACAUUAUGUGGUUAUGUAUAAAAUUGGUUUUGUACAAUUGACGAAAUCAUUAAUAACAAAAUAAGGGGUCAUCCAAUCUUGCACUUGAAUAA